rnacentral:tRNA from 1 species
AGCCCCGUGGUAGUGGUCAAUCAUGCGAGGCUCUGGACCUCGCGACCCAGGUUCGAAUCCUGGCGGGGCUA